UACAUAAACCAUACCUACUCGAAUUUCCUCAAAAAGAAGAAAAUAAUUCUUGUGUGUGUUUUCAACUAUGUCCAAAAGUAUUCAGAUUAAUGGCAUGUGGAGUAAACUCUCCCACACCCUAGAAAACCACAAAAACACCUGCAAAGAAUUGGCCAUCAUUAAUCAUAGGCUAGUGAAGCAAAUCCAGUAACUAUGAGACAAAAGCAACUCACUUAGCCAUGUUUUAUGUCAUUUUCCUGCUCAUUAUUUUCCUGUCAAAUUCAAAACCCUCACCCAUCCAAUGUAAAAACUGGUGGAAGCCUUUCUCCCUUUCCAUUUUUGAUUGCACUUACAUUUGGUGCCAACUUCAUAUCAACCGUACUUAAAAGCAUCCACAUAAAGAAUGCUCUAGAUAUGAACUGGAUCGACCAAGGGCUGAGCAUUCAAAAGAUGGCUAACCUAGAGCGAGCAGCAAAAAUCGAAGCAGAAUUCAUGGACCAUCAAAGGAGCUGCAACCCCGUUGUCAAAGUUGAACCACACUCCGCGAGUUCAGAUGCAGACACUUCAGACCAGAAAGAGAACUAUGUUCAAUUGCACCAUGUUAAAAGUCAUGUUGCUUACUCAUAUACUGAUACAGAUGCGGAAAGUUCAGUCAGUACGAUUGAGGAUUUGCCUAGACACACUCAUCCCUGCAGCAACAAAACGUGGAUAGCAUUACUGUCUUUCAACAGUAUGCAAAAGCUGGAACAACUGUUUCCUUCUUGCUAGCCUACACAGUUCUGGUAUUGUAUGGAUGCCGCUCUUCUGUUUGUGAUGGUAACGCAUAGUAGUUGGACACACAAGUGAACUGGUAAAGCUCCCGUUAAUUCCUGAAUUAUUAACAAAUACUCGAAAUAAUUAGAGCCACAAGGAUUAUCCUAACCACCAUACAUCUAGAGCUUCUUGAUAUGUGUUUGUGUGUGGUUUUUUUUUUCCAAUGCUAAAAGAUAAGAAAAUCACGCAAUUAAUGGAACCUCUGUAUAUAUGCUAACAAAUAUAAAGAGUCUAGUAAUUAGGUUAACAAAAAUGGACUUUCUCUGUUCCACAGUUGAUACUUACUAUUUAGAAUCAAAAAUUGAAUGGUUGAAUGGAAAAGUGCUACUGGGGGUUUUAUAUGAAAUGGAGAAGUUGCUACCGGGGUGUUAUGUGAAAUGGAGAAGUUGCUACUGGGGUGUUAUUUGAAACGGAAAAGUGCUACCUCUUAAAUCUUAUCUAACCAAGUAGCCGCUUCAUAUUAAGCCAUAAGUGCUUGGUCAUCUUAACGACACCAAAUGUUUAAGUUGGUGAUUAUGAUUCAGCUACUUAAAAUCUCCAUGCUCUCAGCACAAGUCAAGAACUUUCAUUCUCAUAAACUGGGUUAAAAAGAACAAAAUAAUAUCAAUAUCAAUAUUAUAGUGAGGAAAGCUUAUAUUAUGUAUGAAAUGCAGAUUUACAGAAAGGGAUGAUUGCCAGAUCAAAGGUUUUUACCUUGCCUAUCAUCUGAAGAGUUGUCAGUGGGUGCACUGUUCUCAACAUGAACAAAUGUUUGAAUAGUAGUUUUAGAUUCCUUAAGUUUUGAUAUUUUAUGUACAUAGAUCUAUUAGAUUGUACAAUCACUUGAAAGUUUGGGAUGCAUUUCAGAACACAGACAUGAAUGUAAAUUAUUGUUGGCUAUCGCGCAGCAAGAUUGUCAGUAUUUUGAUGAUUUCGGGAAUUUUGCGGAUAUGUAACAUGAGAUAAAAUAUGCUUCAACAAGCAGUCAAAUUUGAUCAACAGAUGGAGAUUAAACAUGCUCCAACACAGAGUCAGAAUAGAUAGAAAUGAGAGAUAAAUUAUACAAAGCUAUACACUUUCUUAAUCAAAAAAAGAAAAUUUAAGUACAGCAAAACUGAAGGACAUUAUUCAACUUUCUCAUUUCCCCUUUUUUUUUUUCUCUUGCGUCUUGAGGAGGAGGAAAGAAAUGAUAGUAAUUUUAGCACAUAAGAGUCUAACAGUGGCUGCUAGGGAGUGAUAAUCACUACUGCAUUUCAGCAACAACCAUUUAACGUUCCUAUUAAGUGCUCACACUUCCAACAUAUAGCUAAAAUUUCUCUGACACUUCUCAACAACAUCCAUUUAUGUCUAAAUAUUCUUGUUUUCAAGUCAGACACACAUUAAAUUAAGUGGAAGAGAAUAUUUGGAAAAUAAUGCCAAAGAAUUUGCGACCAAUUAACAGAUGCAGACAAAAUAUUACCUCCAUUAGGCAUGGAUUCCCCCAGUCAGGAGAUAAAAAGAAUAAUUGUAGCUGAAAAUGGAAGGAUCCAAUAGUCUCAUAGACCACCAAUUAGUGUAUCAGUAGGAGAACAACACACGUCAAAAGAAGAAAAGUGUGUGCACCGCUUCCUGCAAAAUGAACAUGAGACCGUGUGAAAUUCAGCUAGUGUACCAUUAGAAGAUAUUUGCAGAAAUGAGUGAGUCCUAUUGAGGAAAAUGCAGCAUCAGGUACAGUACAGUGAAAAGAGACGUGUGCAAGGAUUCUUUUGAUGAGCUAGUAGAAUAUUAAUAGCUCAUUGUGAAUUGAAACCAUUAUUUAAAAAAUAAAUGCAAAUUUGAAUCCAUUAGACUUGUAAACAGCUGCAAUAUUCAAUGAUUUUUUUUAUAACCGUGUUGUCUGGGGCCAUCUUGCACGCACCUCAAUUCUACAAGGUCCCUACUACCUCCCAAAACUUUGCUCAGUUAUUGAAAGUUCACACUUGUACAGUAGUUACACUUCUUAAGCUGAAAGGUAUCAUAGUCAAAUAUCAAUUCUCCAGGUAGCGUCCGAUUGCUGCUAGCUGAUUUUCUCAGCAAGAAUAUAAGAAUAAAAAAACAUAGCACACGCACAAGAUGUUACAUCAGCACAUUUUUUUAUAUAUAAAUCCAUUCUUCUCUUUCUAAUAUAUAUUAUCUCAUAAUUUGAUAUACUGAAUACGACUAAAAGAAUAAUAUUUGUAUGUAUUAGUUGUAGUUAAAUUAAGUUAAAAAGCACUCAAUCUCACCUUUAUAUAAGAAUCUUAUAUAAAGGUGAGAUUGAGUGCUUCAACACUCUUACCCCUCCACAUUUCUGAGACAGUUCACAAGAAAAACCAGAGAAAUCAGGAUUGCUGAAUCUUACCUGGAUAAGCAAAGAAAUCCCUCUGUUAAUUUAAGUUAGAUGUGCAAAUCCUCCAAUCGGAGAUUCCACCUUAGAAGCAACUCUAAGGACCGCAGCUUAGAUAAUCUAUCUGGAAGUAGCUUGCAAAGAAAGUGGUUGUAACAGAGAUAUUCACCUGAGCACGGUAAAUUAACUUUCUACAUAAACCAUACCUACUCGAAUUUCCUCAAAAAGAAGAAAAUAUUUCUUGUGUGUAUUUUCAACUAUGUCCAAAAGUAUUCAGAUUAAUGGCAUGUGGAGUAAACUCUCCCACACCCUAGAAAACCACAAAAACACCUGCAAAGAAUUGGCCGUCAUCAAUCAUAGGCUAGUGAAGCAAAUCCAGUACUAUGAGACAAAAGCAACUCACUUAGCCAUGUUUUAUGUCAUUUUCCUGCUCAUUAUUUUCCUGUCAAAUUCAAAACCCUCACCCGUCCAAUGUAAAAACUGGUGGAAGCCUUUCUCCCUUUCCAUUUUGGUUGCACUUACAUUUGGUGCCAACUUCAUAUCAACCGUACUUAAAAGCAUCCACAUAAAGAAUGCUCUAGAUAUGAACUGGAUCGACCAAGGGCUGAGCAUUCAAAAGAUG
rnacentral:lncRNA from 1 species